CCUCUCCAGCGUCACCUACACCUACAGCUUUGUCUCCUACAGGCGGCCCGUCAACUGCCCAAGAGAAAGACACAGGUGAGAAGACCACUGAAGCCCCGAGUCGGUCUGAAAAGAAAUUAUUAAUCGGGUUAGUUAUUGCUUAUUUCACCGUCCUAGUACUCAUCGCGGUCACCUUCCACUGGAUAUCCCGCCGGGAGAAAAUGAAAGCAGCAAAAGGAACUGAGUUCGAGAUGGACGCGUCAGUGCUGUGUGGAUCAGCGGCAACAAGGUUGGGGAACAUCAGUGAACCGGAAGUUGGCAUAACUCACCAGGCAUUUGCUGAAGACUCUGAGAAUCCAGCGAAUGCAACAGUCCCUGAAUCACAGGAAGUUACUGUUCAGGUUUCGGAAGAUACAAAGUUUUAAAUGUUGGACAAUUUAUUAGUAAACUUUCAAGCCGCAUUCCUUUAAAAAUUCUUGUAGAUUUAAACUAACAGUCUCGUAACAUCAUUUUUUCAUUCUUGGUAACAGUUGGAUGGCGAGCCAUGAUUUGCAAGAGUAGCUAAGUUCCUCAAAGAAGUAGUAUGUAGCAGAAGCUGACGCUAACUAAUUUUUUUCACCGCCAUUGAAAUAGAAUCCCUGAAGUUAUUACAUUGGACGCUAUUCAUUAGUUCAAAGAAUAGCCCAGGUCUUCGAGAAUUCUCUUUGAAUGUGAUUUAUAAAAUACGUAUAUAUUUGAAUCUUGCUUUACCAAUCACCCGAAACGAAGAAAAGCCUCGCUCCACUUUAGUACAACUUUCAGUGUUCUUCGUAAAAAUUUGAAGUUACGCGAAAAGGCAUAUAUGAUUCCAACUACAAUUUAUAAUAGCAGAAGCUGCAUUUCCACUACACGCUGUCGUUGCACGUGUUAUCAUCGACCCAAAUCUUGUCUGCAUACUCGAGCAUGCGCACAACAGGUUUUUCUUUUCUUUUUUUUUCUCUGCUAUCAUAACCUCCAACCAAAAUUUCUAAAGUCAGCAAGUUCAUUCUACAUAAGAGGACGCAUGGCCGGUGUUUUCAAAAUUAUUUUCGGUGGACAAUUAGACUACAUUAGCUUGGACCGUAGAAAUACAGUUGGGUUUUUUGAAAUCUUGAUCCUCGUGGUGUGGAAGGGUGCCGUUGAUUGUUAAUGCUCUCCAAAACAAACAAACUUGUACAAGUGGGAUGAAGGUAGAGAGAAGUUUAGUUAAGACCACGAAUGGAAAAAUAAAUUAGAAUGGUCGCAACCUUCUGUCCAAGUAACUAUUGGUUUCACAAUUUAAUUUUAUCAGAAGGCUGAAGUGAGGAUUUGUUAACUUAACACGCGUAAAUUCUAUUGCA